UACCGAGGUCUCAAGCGUUGUUCGGAUUCAUUGGGCGUAAAGGGUGUGUAGGUGGCGCGCUAAGUCGGGUGUGAAAUUUCGGAGCUUAACUCCGAAACUGCAUUCGAUACUGGCGUGCUUGAGGACUGGAGAGGAGACUGGAAUUUACGGUGUAGCAGUGAAAUGCGUAGAUAUCGUAAGGAAGACCAGUGGCGAAGGCGGGUCUCUGGACAGUUCCUGACACUGAGACACGAAGGCCAGGGGAGCAAACGGG
rnacentral:rRNA from 1 species